rnacentral:rRNA from 1 species
GAUGAACGCUGGCGGCGUGCUUAACACAUGCAAGUCGAACGGUGAAGCAGGAGCUUGCUCUUGUGGAUCAGUGGCGAACGGGUGAGUAACACGUGAGCAACCUGCCCCUGACUCUGGAUAAGCGCUGGAAACGGCGUCUAAUACUGGAUAUGUGAUGUGACCGCAUGGUCUGCAUCUGGAAAGAAUUUCGGUUGGGGAUGGGCUCGCGGCCUAUCAGCUUGUUGGUGAGGUAAUGGCGCACCAAGGCGUCGACGGGUAGCCGGCCUGAGAGGGUGACCGGCCACACUGGGACUGAGACACGGCCCAGACUCCUACGGGAGGCAGCAGUGGGGAAUAUUGCACAAUGGGCGGAAGCCUGAUGCAGCAACGCCGCGUGAGGGAUGACGGCCUUCGGGUUGUAAACCUCUUUUAGCAGGGAAGAAGCGAAAGUGACGGUACCUGCAGAAAAAGCACCGGCUAACUACGUGCCAGCAGCCGCCGCGG